ACUUAAGUAGUUUAUAAAAAAUAUAGAUCUGUGGAGUCUAAGAAAUUUUUAAAUCUUGGGUU
rnacentral:tRNA from 1 species